UUACUAACCUAGCCUAACUUCAAAUUUUUCAUUUGGGGGCGUACCUGUGUAGUGUGUCAAGACAUCCCGAAAAGCGAAAGUGGCGGUGUGAUGCGUUGCUGAUGCUGUUCUAACGAACACAGUCCACGGCCGAGUUCCAGAUAAGAAACCUGACUGUCUUGGACCCAAAAAUCAGGCCCUUUUAUAUCUUCACAAUAGGCACAAAUGGCAAUGGCGGGAAAUGACGUGGUCGGCCCUGUUGACUUAAUCAUAGGGCAGAAGGAUGACGUCAUACUGGGCGUGGACAUGUCUCAGGGCUGUCACAUGAGUAGCAAUGAAAACCUAAAGCAUCAAACAAAUGCCUCACUAAAGCUGCUUUAUGACAGGGUGCUUUCUAAUGCUGGUAAAAUCUGUUUUGUCUUAACUGUUUCACUGCUGUAUGCAGCACACGAUUCUAUCAGAUAUAUUUCUAUACUUCCACAUUUAGUGUUUUCGAAAGUGCACUGAGGGGACCAUUCCCUAACAGUGAAUAACAUCUGCAUACCUUCAACACUUGGGAUCAUUACGUAUUGUCACACUUCGUCCCAAUUGUCCACUGUCCAUUGGUGCCACUGUUUGCACAACCUAGUGUUUGGCUUAGUGAUGGCAAUAGAAACACCACCAGCCCUACAUGUGGGCAAGAGCUUCCAGUACCUGGAGCUGCGGUUCACCACCUCAGGUCGCUGGAUCUUCAACCCUCGAUGCCACCUGGAGGAGCAGUUGGAUGUCAUCUCCUGAGCUCCACUAAAGCCACACCAGCGCCUCUGUGCCCUCGUAAGUGUGCUUCUCCCUGGCCUGUACCAUAAGCUGGCCCUUAGCCGCAACCAUGUGGGUGCCCUGAAGUCAAUGGCCGGCACCAUCGGGGCUGCCUUCCGGCACCGUCGAGGACGCCUUCCGGCAGACACUCCCCUUGGCUACUUCCAUGCUCCUGUUGGCCAGUGGGGGUCUCGGCAUUCCAUCUUGCCACUGGAUGGGGCCAACCCUCUGUCGUUACGGAAGAUGGUGUCAGCUAUUGAAGGUGCAGGCCUGGACGAGGUGCAGUGCAAGAUUGUGGUGCUGGAGUGGCACUUGAUGUGGGAGGGUCACUACCUAAGAACGUUGACACAGGUCGCAGAAAUGCGAGCCGUGCGCCUACAUGUCGCCAUCGGCUGCUAUUUGGGCGUGACUGUACCAUCGCCAUCCACGCCCGCUUCAAUGCCUUCCCAAUGAACGCACAGCGCAGUCAGGGGCAGACGGCCAGAUGUCGUGCGGGCUGCCAAACCGUUGAGACUGCAGCCACGUCCUUCAGGCUUGCUACCGAACGCAUGCGUCCCGGGUAAAGCGGCAUGAUGCCAUCAUCAAGUAUUUGCUCGUGCAGAGUGGCUUCAGCGUCUCUGUGGAGCCCCACCCACGCAAGCCUGAUGUGGUAGCGGUGAAAGAUGGCAUCAUCUGCGUGAUUGAUGCCCAGGUAGUCUGUGACCAUCUCUGGUUUGACUGGUGUCACACCCAGAAGGCGACCUAGUACGACACGCCCUCCAUCUGGCGUGCUGUCUCCGGCCUGCAACAGGACGUCCAGGAGGUGACCAUGCCCCCUGCCAGUUCUAGCUGCGGCGGACGCUGUCUCCCACGUCGGCACGGGACUUCCUUGACUUGGGGUUCAGACACCGAGAGCUUGCAGUCUUGAGCGCCUGGAUACUGCAGAGCUGCUGCCUCAGUUGCAGGAUUUUUGAACAUAUGACGGCGCAAAGGCUGCUGGCACAUGUCGGCGUCUGGUAGGCAAAACACCACAUGCAUAUACUAUGUGAAAGGAAGAAACAAGGAAGCUUAAAGAAGAACAGAAAGACAGGGAACAAAGACAGAUACUACUCUUGUUACGGGCCCCAGGAGUCAGGGAAUCACAUAUCCAGCACUGCUACCCAAGUCCCCAUUUUGGUGGAGGACACGGCUUGGUAAUUGACACCAUUGUACCAAUUUACCAUAUGUAUAUGUAUUUGUGUUAUUCUGAUGGAAUAAAGACGGCUUUCAAUGUUGAAG